GGCAGCAGCUGCUGUAAAAAGGAGUUCCAGCUAUUUCACCAGGUGAAUGCAGGCUAUCCUGCAAUUAAUCAAUUAUAUGAUUUCCAAAAUCAAAACAAUUUAGAGCUGAGAAAGGCUGUAAUUUACCUUCCCAAUCCAGUAGCUAAAGGCUUCCAAGAGAGUACAGCUGACAAGAAAAACAUAUAGUGGAACAAAUUAUCUCCUAAGUGAUGUAAAGGGACUGGAAUCUGGCCACAAAUGCUAGAUUUAGAAUUCUUACAAUAUACAGGAAAGUGUAACAUUUGGUGAGACAUGUUUGGUAAACUAGAGGCACAGGACUCAUUUCACAUCCCCAAAAUGUAGAUGAUUUUCAGAGGAUGUAUGAGUCAAAGCAGACAAAGACAGAGGGUCUGAGGUCUGCAAUUCCAAUUUGGCAUGUCCGUAUAAUUUAUUUAAGACCAUACACAAUUUAGGAAAGCCACAGAUAACUACACUGAACCAUUGGGCCGCCCUUGCGUUUUAAGGUAUUCCUCUUAUCUGUUGAAAUCUGUUUUAAGUCCAAUCACUUGUGUUUGAGUAAAAUGUUCCUUGUAGAAUGACAUUCUCUCGACCAAGAUGAGAAGCAAUCAUUUCACUUAGUAAUUUUUUUUCUUUGAGGCUAAAUGUCUUUUUACUUAAUGCUUUACUUCUGGGGUGAACUUGUCUGACUUCAUUUCCAGUCUUUGGUUCUUCCGGCCUUUCUUGGCUAGAUUAGAAACAUAUAUUCAAUACUUCAUCCUUAGAGGCACUUUUACAUUGCAAUCAGGUCACCUCUGUUUUUGAAAAUGUUAACAGAUUGACCUCCAUAGCUUUCACAGUGAGGAAUGUUCUCCUCAAAGAAAUAGUAAUACUUGUGAGCUUUUUCCUCUUCUCCAAAAAUAUUUCACUUUUCUUUUCUUAUACCCACACCAAAACACAACUAAGAUGCUUCCCCUGCAGGCAAAGAAGUUCAGAUAAAAGCAGCCACAAAUUUCAGCACGGGUUCAGUUUGUGGCAGGGCACCAUCUCCCAGUCCAAGUAAAGCAACUGUCACAUGGUGCCAGUCCCUCAGCUUCGAUUUUCAAUCACGGAUUUGUAAAGCAGAGCCAAAAUGAUGAUGGCUGUUGUGGAGCAGUGAUUAGUGCAGAUCAAAUGAGCAGAGUUACCACCACGCCACUCUCCUAUCCACUCACUUCUCAUACAGGUCUCUGCAUUUCCAGCAUAAAGUCAUCAUUUCCAUCUUGCAUCGAUACAUUAAAAACUGGACAAAGGAAAAUUCAAAGAAUAGAUUGUGGGUUUUUUUUCCUUCUAAAUUUACAAGGCAAGUGGUAAGGGUCGAGAAGAGCUGUUUGUUUUUAUGGGAUGUGUGCAAACAUUAUUGAGUGCCUUUAUUUUACUAAACCUGUCACACCAGAUUUCAGUCUUCCUUCAAAAUCAUAAAUAAAAAAGAACUCUUUGUUUGCCAUUUUUCCCCUUUGAUGGAUAUGAAUCACCACCAGACAACACAGUUAAGUUCCCAAUCUCCAGCUCUGAGCAACAUCGGCUGGAGGUACAAAACAUCCCCAAUCAAUAGCUUAUGGCACCAGGUUUCCCAGCCUGCUGGGCGGUAUCCCAGCCUUCCCAGCUGCAUGCUGCUCACCACACUGCCUGCUGCUGCUGCUAAAUCAUCCAGCAGUGCCUGAGGGAACUGAACAGUUCAGCAAUAAAUGCUGGUCACUCGUUGAUCCGGGCUAUAUCUCUGAGAACAGAAGACACCUGGUUCUGGCUACCGUCGCUCUACAUUGUAUUUCAGAGAGAGGACUAUGCAAGGAUACGUGCCUUUUCUUCUAUACACCACCUGUUGCCUGUCAGCGCUGCCUUUAACAUACAGAGCGUUUAUUUGUAUUACUUCACCCCUCUGGCAUGUGCCUUCUUCAUGAGCACUUUAUAUCAUCACCAGCAAUUGCAUGUUUGCAAUGGCAGCGUGAGGAACGUCGGUCACCAGCAGCAUACUCCUUUUUCCUACCUCAAGGCAUGGAAAGGUGGUGGGUGGUUUAAAGAGCCAGGGAAGGAAAUAAUGCUAUGAGCAGUGCUUGAUCUAAGUUCCUGUCCUGAAGGCUUGUUCUAUUAUUCACAGAGCAAUAGCAAAUAAAUCAGGAAAACUAAACAAUAACCUCCCACCUCAGUCAGACAAAUUUGUCUUCCCUUUUAGUAUAGUUAGCAUAUCCUAAUUUAUGACUGAGGGGGACAGUUUUGGAUUGAAUCACCGCACACAUCAGUACAGGUUAGGGGCUAACCUGCUGGAAGAGAGUUCUGCAGAGAAGGACCUGGGUGUUCUGAUGGAAAACAGGUUGGCCAAGAGCCAGCAGUGUGCCCUGAUAGCCACAGUGGCCAAUUGUACCCUGAGGUGUAUUAAAAAGAGUAUGGCCAGCAGGUUGAGGGAGGUGAUCCUCUACUCUGUCCUGGUGAAGCCACAGCUGGAGUGUCCAGUUCUGGACUCCCCAGUUUAAGAAAAACAGGGAACUGCUGAAGAGAGUUCAGCAGAUGACUGGGACCUGGAGCAUCUCCUUUAUCAGGAAAGGCUUCAAGCCCUGGGGCUGUUCAGCCCGGAGAAGAGAAAGCUGAGAGGGAUCUUAUCAAUGUUUAUCAGUAUCUAAAGGACAGGUGUCAAGUGGAUGGGAUCAGGCUCCUUCUGUGGUGUGCAGUGACAGAGCAGGGGCAAUGGGCACAAACUGAAACAUAGCAACAAGAGGAAAAGCUUUUCUUCAUGAGAGUGACAGAGUACAGCUGCCCAGAGAUUGUGGAGUUUCCUCCUCUGGAGCUACAACACACCUGGGCACUUUCCUGUGCAAUCUACCAUAGGGAACUGCUUUAGCAGGGGGUUGGACUCGAUCUCAAGAGUUCCCUUCCAAACUCAGCAGUUCUGUGAUUCUGUAAUAUCCUUAAAGAAUAAGAGAACCAAAAUGAAGAGAGCUCACAGUGAACUCAGCACAGUGAGGGAAAAGGACCAAAGAGAGAACAGACAGAAAGACAGCUUAAUGCAGAACCAGGACCUGCACAAGACGGCACAAAGUUGCAGCACAUGGGCCGCAGAGUACAGCUGCCCUAGGAGCCAGGACAGCACUUGCCCUUGCAGAGAGCCCUUGUUGCUGUGCACACACCUGCAUGCACUUACACUCAACUUAUGGGUGUGGAGUGGCCCAGAGCAGCAGCUGACCUGCCCGGGCAAGGCUGAGGCCCUCCCAGCCCCUCUGCCAGCACUUGCCCAGCACAGCCCCUCAGCAGGGCACCCAGCAGGCAGUGCCCACACAGGCCUCGGCACAUCCCAGCACACUGCCCAGCUCUGAGUCAUGGCUGGCUGCGCCCUGCGGGCCCCUACUGCAGGCACCCUGGAGCUCCCUGGCUCCCGGGGCCGUGUCUGCCUUAGGGGCAGCUUUGCAGAGCGAUGCUCAGCUGCAGCGAGGCCGUGUACCUUUGUUGGGUGCCCAGCGACAUCACAGAGAUGAUGCGCAGCCCGGGGGAAUCGGUCAAGGGGUGACAGCAGGACCAGGAGGUCUUGUAUCCUUCUGCAUCAUAGCACAGCUCAGCACAGUCCUCUUGUGACAGGAAUGGCUGUGAACAGCAAGAGAACAAGACUUGUCAGUGCUCAACUAGAAGAGCUGCCAAAUACAUCAUCAUCUCUCAUUCACUAUGACCCAGGUGCUGUCAGCCCAAACUGACUGUUUUCAGUAAAAUGAAAAAAUCACGUUGGAUGCCUGACCUGGUGACUGAGCUUGCUGAGGGAAUGCCAUGCGAGUCCCUGGAGCUGGAGCCCAAUCGCUGCCAGGGUGCGACAUCGCCUGCAGCAGCUGCUGCUGCCCUGAGCCAGAGCAGCCCUGGGAAGCAGAUGAGCUGCAGCCAGCAGGAAGGGAGCCAAAAGGAGAAACCCGUACACACCAAAAUUAAAGUACACGACUGCUGCCAUGGAAUAGAAAAAGCAAUAUCUUACAGAGAAACGGCAAAGAUGAACAACCACCAAAGGAAGGAGCAGAGUGUUGUGAGGACACUCAGUUUGGUCUCAACCCACAUCUCAAUUCAGACGAAAGAUUAAUUCUAAUUGUCAGCAAGGUCCUAAGCAGCAGUACAAUUUUAAUAGACUAAGCAUCCCUAAUUUUCCACUUCCUUGAAUAAACUAUUUUGUGGUACGU